rnacentral:lncRNA from 1 species
CUCAGGAGUAUAAUUCCCCACAUUUUUGCUCAUAAUAAAACCUUAAAUUGUCCUUUACUUUUUUUUUAAACAGUGAAUUUAGUAGAAAUCCACAUAUUGUGAGUUUUGUUGGAAAUCAGGUAACUAUAAGAAGAGCGGAUGGCUCCCUGGUACAUAUCAGCAUAUCACCAUAUCCUGCUAUUCUCCAUGACUAUGUAGGCAGUUCAAAAUGGGAAGAUGCUGUAAGGCUUUGUCGCUUUGUUAAGGAGCAAACUAUGUGGGCUUGCCUAGCUGCGAUGGCAGUUGCUAAUCGAGAUAUGACUACUGCAGAAAUAGCUUAUGCAGCCAUUGGUGAAAUGGAUAAAGUUCAGUACAUCAAUUCUAUGAAAGAUCUUCCAUCCAAAGAAUCAAAAAUGGCCCACAUACUACUGUUUAGUGGGAAUAUACAGGAGGCUGAAAUAGUACUUCUUCAGGCUGGCCUUGUUUAUCAAGCAAUCCAGAUCAAUAUUAAUCUGUAUAACUGGGAAAGGGCACUGGACUUGGCUGUAAAAUACAAAACACAUGUUGAUACAGUUCUUGCUUACCGUCAAAAGUUUUUAGAAACAUUUGGUAAAAAGGAAACGAAUGAACGAUAUUUGCAAUAUGCAGAAGGUCUCCAAAUAGAUUGGGAGAAAAUCAAAGUCAAAAUUCAGAUGGAAAUUACUAAAGAACGAGAGCGAUCAAGCAGCCAGUCCAGCAAGAAUACAAGUCUAAAGCACUAA